GCGAAACUCCUGCCUUAAAGCCCUAAAUGGCGGCUUCAAUAUCAGUCCCACUGAGCAUGAAAUUCAUUUACUUAAAUAAAAUCUGAAUCUCAGCCCAAACCUGGGAGAUUCAAAACCUGAGAGCGGUCUUACCAAAGACGCCCGUAUGUCUGGUGAAGUCAGUUGGAUGCAAGCAGUUUGUGCUGGUACCAGGGCCCCAGCUACUGAUGAAGUGGCAGGAGUCCACAGAAGCCUACUUCGAAGUUCCCGGGGCUUCCAGGGGAGAUUGACGAGAUUCCUGGGGAGGCGAUUCAUGACAGCUGAGUUCCUUUUGGAGGAUCCGUCUUCAGGCAGAGCACUGCCUUCCUCAUGUACCAUGCAUCAAGCCCUCUCCCCAGCCUGAAGAACACCAUGUUCCUCUUAGCGAUCAUCAGUAACAAGGCGUGCCACUCGAAGAACUACAAAGAUAAGGGUUUGGGGUUUGUGCUGGGGAAAGCUCAUGACACUAGCUGCAGGAAUAGAGGACUGAGCCUCCCAAGUCCUGGAAAGCAGAGGGAGGAUGCCCCGCUCUGAUUUCCUCAGCACCUUUGCAGAGCUCUUGGUCUCCUGCCUGUGCCCUGCAGGCCUGACUCACCUUCCUCUCUGCACGUGAGACUCUGCACACCUCCUAUCGUGUUUAUUGACGCAUGGCAGCCUCAGCCCUCCAUUUCAUGUGACCUCCCAGCUUUGCUCUCUACAACACCUAACCCAGUCAGUUUCUGUGUCCUAAUUCAAAAUUGCUGGGAGAAAAAAAAGUCUGAUUGGCAUUUGAGUUUGAGAACGAAGGCUUGAAAGAGCCAGUUUGAAGAAUGGGAGCAAGGCCUGGCUAGAGCACUGAUCGACAAACUUUUCCUGUAAAGGGCUGGGUAGUAGAUAUUGCAGGCUUUGCAGGCCAUGAAAUCCACGCUGCAUUGUAGUGGCAUGCAAGCUGCCAUAGCCAAUCUGUAAAUGAAUGAGUGUGGCUGGGUCGCAUUAGCAUUUUAUUUCCAAAAAUAGCAGGUGGCCAGAUUUGGCCCAGGGACUAUAAUUUUCCAAUUCCUGAGAUACUAGAAACAGAAGUGUUUUGUUGUUGUUUUAACUAACUCUUUAUUGAAGUACAGCAAACAAAAGUAUACACAUUAUAGCAUUGUAUGAACUAUCACAGAGUGACUACACGCAUGUAACCACCAACUGUGUGAAGAAAACAUUGCCUGCAUCCCAGAAACUAUGUAUGCACCCUUACUAGUCACUAAUCUCACACUCCUCCCCAAAAGUAACUAAAACUCUGAUUUGUAUUGUCAGUGGUUUCUCCUGUUUUGGACUUUAUAUAAAUGAAGUCAUAUUGUAUGUAUUUCUACUUUCUGUCUAACUUCUUUGUAUGAUAUUCUCCCAGUGGAAUUCAUCUGUAUUGUGGUUUGUACCAAUGGUUCAUUUCUUUUUAUUGUUAUUAUAAUAUUUUAUUGCAUUACUAUAAUAGUAUUUAUUUCAUUCUACUGUAGAUGGACAUUUAACAUUGUUUCUAGUUUGGGGCUGCUGCAUGUCUUUGGAUGAAUAUGUGUACACAUUUUUGUUGGAAAUAGAAUUGCUGGUCCAACAUAGAUAGAUAGAUAGGUAGGUAGAUACAUAGAUAGAUAGAUA
ensembl:lncRNA PAXIP1-AS2 PAXIP1 antisense RNA 2